UACGUAGGGCGCAAGCGUUGUCCGGAAUUAUUGGGCGUAAAGAGCUCGUAGGCGGUUUGUCGCGUCUGCUGUGAAAACCCGAGGCUCAACCCCGGGCCUGCAGCCGAUACGGGCAGACUAGAAUUCGGUAGGGGAGACUGGAAUUCCUGGUGUAGCGGUGAAAUGCGCAGAUAUCAGGAGGAACACCGGUGGCGAAGGCGGGUCUCUGGGCCGAUAUUGACGCUGAGGAGCGAAAGCGUGGGGAGCGAACAGG
rnacentral:rRNA from 1 species